UCCCUAGUGGCUCAGCUGGUAAAGCAUCUGCCUUGCAGGGCAGGAGACCCAGGUUCAAUCCCUGGGUGAGGAA
rnacentral:tRNA from 1 species